rnacentral:rRNA from 1 species
AACGUAGGACGCAAGCGUUAUCCGGAGUUACUGGGCGUAAAGCGCGGGCAGGCGGCUCUGUAAGUCUGAUGUGAAAGCGCCCGGCUCAACCGGGCGAGGCCAUUGGAAACUACAAAGCUGGAGGGCAGUAGAGGCAGGCGGAAUCCGGGUGGAGUGGUGAAAUGCGUAGAGAUCCGGAGGAACACCAGAGGCGAAGGCGGCCUGCUGGGCUGUUGCUGACGCUGAGGCGCGACAGCGGUGGGGAGCAAACAGGAUUGAACGAA